rnacentral:rRNA from 1 species
GACGAACGCUGGCGGCGUGCUUAACACAUGCAAGUCGAACGGAAAGGCCCUGCUUUUGUGGGGUGCUCGAGUGGCGAACGGGUGAGUAACACGUGAGUAACCUGCCCUUGACUUUGGGAUAACUUCAGGAAACUGGGGCUACUACCGGAUAGGAGCGCCUGCUGCAUGGUGGGGGUUGGACCGUUUCGGCGGAUGGGGAUGGACUCGCGGCUUAUGAGCUGGUUGGUGGGGUAGUGGCUUACCAAGGCUUUGACGGGUAGCCGGCCUGAGAGGGUGACCGGCCACAUUGGGACUGAGAUACGGCCCAGACUCCUACGGGAGGCAGCAGUGGAGAAUAUUGCACAAUGGGCGGAAGCCUGAGGCAGCAGCGCCGCGUGCGGGAUGACGGCCUUCGGGUUGUAAACCGCUUUCGCCUGUGACGAAGCGUGAGUGACGGUAAUGGGUAAAGAAGCACCGGCUAACUACGUG